CGCUGUCUCAACCAUAAACUCGGCGAAAUUGCAGUACGAGUAAAGAUGCUCGUUACGCGCAGCAGGACGGAAAGACCCCGAGACCUUUACUAUAGUUUGGUAUUGGUGUUCGGAGUGGCUUGUGUAGGAUAGGUGGGAGACGUUGAAGCCCGGACGCCAGUUCGGGUGGAGUCAUCGUUGAAAUACCACUCUGGUCACUUUGGACAUCUAAC
rnacentral:rRNA from 1 species